AAAUUCUUCAUUUCAUUUUCUCACUCUUCUCUCUCUCUCUCUCUCUCUCCAAACCCUAGAAAACCUUCUCCAUUGUUUCCAUGGUUGCCAAAUCGUUCGAGAUUAACGAUUCUGUUGCAAACGACGGGGGUGUUGGUGUCGUUUUGCAGAGUGAGAUGA